rnacentral:piRNA from 1 species
CAUUAAGAUUGGAGGGUAUUUA